ACACUCCUGCGGGAGGCAGCAGUGGGGAAUAUUGGACAAUGGGCGCAAGCCUGAUCCAGCCAUGCCGCGUGAGUGAUGAAGGCCCUAGGGUUGUAAAGCUCUUUCACCGGUGAAGAUAAUGACGGUAACCGGAGAAGAAGCCCCGGCUAACUUCGUGCCAGCAGCCGCGGUAAUACGAAGGGGGCUAGCGUUGUUCGGAUUUACUGGGCGUAAAGCGCACGUAGGCGGACUAUUAAGUCAGGGGUGAAAUCCCGGGGCUCAACCCCGGAACUGCCUUUGAUACUGGUAGUCUUGAGUUCGAGAGAGGUGAGUGGAAUUCCGGGUGUAGAGGUGAAAUGCGUAGAUAUUCGGAGGAACACCAGUGGCGAAGGCGGCUCACUGGCUCGAUACUGACGCUGAGGUGCGAAAGCGUGGGUAGCAAACAGGAUUAGAUACCCUUGUAGUCCCAUGAU
rnacentral:rRNA from 1 species